CGGGGUGUAGCGCAGCCUGGUAGCGCACCUGAAUGGGGUUCAGGUGGUCGGAGGUUCGAAUCCUCUCACCCCGACCA
rnacentral:tRNA from 1 species